rnacentral:rRNA from 1 species
GAUGAACGCUGGCGGCGUGCCUAACACAUGCAAGUCGAGCGGGGAGGAGAAAGCUUGCUUUCAAAUCCUAGCGGCGGACGGGUGAGUAACGCGUGGGCAACCUACCCUGUACAGGGGGAUAACAAUGGGAAACCAUUGCUAAUACCCCAUAACACCUUUUAAGGGCAUCCUUUUAAGGUCAAAGAAUUUCGGUACAGGAUGGGCCCGCGUCUGAUUAGCUAGUUGGUGAGGUAAUGGCUCACCAAGGCGACGAUCAGUAGCCGGCCUGAGAGGGUGAACGGCCACACUGGAACUGAGACACGGUCCAGACUCCUACGGGAGGCUG